GUAGGGGGCAAGCGUUGUCCGGAUUUAUUGGGCGUAAAGAGCGUGUAGGCGGCCCGGCAGGUCCGUUGUGAAAACUCGAGGCUCAACCUCGAGACGUCGAUGGAAACCGUCGGGCUAGAGUCCGGAAGAGGAGAGUGGAAUUCCCGGUGUAGCGGUGAAAUGCGCAGAUAUCGGGAGGAACACCCGUGGCGAAAGCGGCUCUCUGGGACGGUACUGACGCUGAGACGCGAAAGCGUGGGGAGCGAACAGGAUUAGAUACCCUGGUAGUCCACGCCGUAAACGAUGGGUGCUAGGUGUGGGCGGUGUCGACUCCGUCCGUGCCGAAGCUAACGCAUUAAGCACCCCGCCUGGGGAGUACGGCCGCAAGGCUAAA
rnacentral:rRNA from 1 species